GGGGACAUGGUGGCAGUUUAUUUGCCACUGCAAGUUUAAUCUAAAUCACCACAUACCUAAUUUAUUGUGAAAAAUGAAAUUCCAGGAGUUUUCUUCCUCCUCCAUGUUACUAAACAAUCUGAGUUCUGCCAAAGAAGGAAUGGCUCAUGUGGAAAAUAUUUAAUUGCCUGCAUUCAUAUAACAGGAAUGUUCUGAAUCUAAAACAACAUAUAUUGGGAAAAAACUGGUGGAGUAAUAUUGCCAAGAAACCUCUUCUUAUGGGUAAUUUUCCAAUCUUGAAACACUCUGGAAAGUCACUGGGCUAGUAGUGGUCAGAGGGAGUUGAGCCUGGUCCUAAAUCUGCCAUUAAUUAAGCACAGCAACUUCAAGUCUCUCCCCCCAUCCCAGUCUUCUUUCUCUUCUCUCCGCUUCCCUUCUUUCCUUCCCCUUUUUCCCAUCCUCACUCUUUCCCCUUUUCCUCCCUUCCUUCCUCAAUCAUUUCCAAAGUGUCUACUAUAUACUAUCAUGUUGGUUCCUGAGAUACAAAGAUAAAAGAUACUUUGACCUUGAAAGAGGGUUGGGGAAGAUUCAGUGGGAGUCUGAUCAUGUGAUUCAUGUCCCUUGCCAUUCUGAUAGUCCAUGAUUGUCUCCAGGUCAAAAUCUUAUCACACAGUCAGUGUUGUUCUUUCAUUUGAUGACUUGGAGAAAAAGAAUCUUGAAUACAGGGUCAUAAAGCUGUCUCACAAGGAUCAUUAGUAUAUUUCAUAAAUAUUUACUGAGCACGACUCUGUGCCAAGCAUGGUGUUGGGGGACCAUCACAGAAAUAAACACUGACUUAAAUAAGAGCACAGCCCAACUGUUCUCCUAGGAAUUUGAGGGAGGAUUUCUGGAGAGUGGAGGUGGGAAUCAAUUUCUGAAAGCUGAGUAGGUGUUAGACUCAAGAGCAGGUAGGCAGACGGAGAACUCUGGUGUCUACCAGGUAAGUGAAGGAUGUCCAGGGCAGAGAAAAGCUAGCUAUAGGGAAUGCAAACUGUGUUUGUCAACUUGCCAGUCCUCUGGCAUGCCUGAAGCACUGAGUGAACAGGGGCAGAAAAGGGAUAGAUGACCUUGAAGUUAAUGCAGAGAAGAAGUCAUGAGGAGCCAUUCAAAGGCAUUUCGACUUUAUCUUGAGGACAUGCAGAGGUUUGAAGCAGAUGUUGCAUGAUCAGAUUUGCCUUCAGAAUAGUAAUUUAAAAAAAUGCUUUCUUAUGAGAAAGGAAUUAAGGGAAUGGGAUAUAGAUCAGACAUUUAUAAAUGAGUUCCUUCCAAGCAAGAUAACCUUAUGUUUUAGUUAUGGAUCUUAGCCUCAAUCUCAGGAGUGCUAAAAUUUACUUUUCGUGGCUCACAUAAUUUGUAUUCUGAAUUUGUAUGUCCACCGACUGGAAAAAGAUUAACUUUAAGUCAUUGGUAAAGUAUGAAUGCUUCCUCAGCUCUGCAGGUUAUGCCAUGACCCCCCAGAUUUCCACUGUGCCAUACUGUCACACAGGAAAGAAAGGGAGAAAAUGGCCAUUUUCUUAUGCAUAUAUUGAAAUAUGCAUAAUUUCCUCUGUACUGUUCCUGUAGUUAGAUUUGGGGACUAGGGCUGUUUGCUGAGGCCUUAAUUGAGGGCCUCAGGUCCCUUUGUUCUCAGGUGGCUGUGAGGUGAGAAUACUGAACCCUAACCACUUGAUAUAGGUCCCCAGAGAAAGAAUUUGGCAAAGACACCAAGGGUAGUGAGGCAAAUAAGUAUUUAUUAAGGGAGAAGAGAGGAGGUCCCAUUGUGGCUCAGCAGUUAAUGAAUCCAACUGGCACCCAUGAGGACGUGGGUUCAAUCCCUGGUCUAGCUCAGAGGGUUAAGGGUCUGGCAUUUCUGGGCUAUGUGUAGGCUGGCAGCUAUAGCUCCAAUUCGACCCCUAGCCUGGGAACCUCGAUAUGCUGUGGCUGAGGCCCUAAAAAGGCAAAAGAAAGAGAGAGAGAGAGAAUAUAGGUGUGGAGAAAGCAGAGGCAGGCUUGGGGGGCGGGGGAAGACAGACAGAUAGAGACAGGAAGAGCAAGAGAGGAAGAGGAUAACACAUGCUUUGGAGGUCAUUUAAAUCACUUGUAUGGGGGCAGUUUUUCCAAGCUUCCUCUGGCCAAUCAUCUUGCUUUGUCUGAACUUGAGCCCACAUUUGUCCUAACUCAGGGCCCUCCCCUGUGCACAUGCAUCUUUUAACCAAGAUGGAUUCAAGUACCAGGGUUUUGGGGAAGUUGAUCGGAUGUACUAUGGUCUGGUGCUCCUCUCUUCUCCGACCCCCUGAGAAACCUUUCUGCAAAUGUGUGGUUCCACUCUGGAGGUCUCCUUGACUUCAAGAAUGAGAAAUAAGUGGUCUCUAUCUUUUAUUCAAGCAGGAUGCAGCUCCUGCCAUAAUCUUUAUCUUGAAGUUAUCUGUUCAUGGGGAGCAGAUUACAGUUGCUUAGCUUGGAACCCAUCUAUCUCCUGCUUUACCUUGGCCAUCCUACAUUAUGUAGCUGCCACACCUGAGGGUUCCAUGGGUACCUGUGCUCAGGAUCUAGAGUCCUCUUACCAUACCUUUCCUCUCCUCAGCCAGCCCAGCUAAAUCACUUAAGCCUGAGGUUAACUUUUCCUUCCUUUAUAUUUCUUCCACUCUGCUUUUUAUGAUACUCUUUCGUCCUUCCUCUCAUCAACAAACAUUUUUAAUUCCCUUACGCAUUCAGGCUUUUGAAAAAAAACAAAAGCCAGAAAGAGCUGGACUGUACCUAGACUUUCCCAUGUGAUAUAUACAUCCCCUGAGACAGUGAAGUGCAGAACAGACAACCUACCUGAAUGGAGCUAAAAGUAAGGGAAACAUAGGCUAAAAUACACAAAGAAAAUAAACCAAAACUCUCAAAAAAAUCAUCUAGCUCUGCCUGCUUCGCACAAUGUUUUCUAAACUGCUGCCAUUGAAUUUAUCCGUUUACAGUCUCUGCUUUAAAGGAUCUUACUUAAUGAAAGUUUCCUUUGUGUAGUCUUCUGUGUGGUCUAUUUAUUUGCUGAUUUGGUUUUCUGAUCUUCUCUCCCCACCAUGAGCUACUUCCUAGAAGCUCCAUCCCAGGUUCACAGAAACUCACUUGAGCACAGUGUUCAUACUGGGCUGGUUGCCCUGCCUGGGAUUCACUGCUCACCAAGGCAGUUCUUAGUUUCUGCAUCAUUAAAUGAGGGGAUUGCAGUGUGUCAUAUCGAAAGUACUAGCUGGUUUGAAAUAUAUUAGUAUUCUAGGACUCUCUUUUUAAUGAUUUUUCUACUGCCAUGGAAACCGUUUUCCCCUAACCACUCUCGUUUUCAUGUAGUGGCCAGUGUAAAAAUCUCGUACAUGUAAGUUCCUACUUUCACACCUUCUUUUGACAGAGAAAUGUACUUGGUGUUGGAGCCAGGGCCUGCGUGGGAGCCUCUAAAUCUAUGUGAUGGGAUGUUCUAUGGCACUUUUGCCGCUCUAGAUCAGCUACUUUAUGAACCAAACAGACCUUGGCAACUGACCUGAAACUUAGCUAUGACAUGGUUUUCUGCGGAGAAAUGAGCCUGGGUUCUGAAUAACCACACUAUGCAUUCCUUCCUCAAGUCCAGAACUGCUUAUGCUUAAGAUUCUCUGAACAGCUCUCUAGAUUUAAUGAUGAUCCUACAGCGCUCCCUGCUAGGAAUGAGAAGUAGAUUAUUUUUGCCAUUACUGAAUAUGUUUUCUCCCUUUCCCUUUUCCAGUAGAAUGUCCAAUAAGUCAAUUUGCUUUACAAUUUAAAGUGGAGUGUUUUUUUUUUUUUGAGAUCAAGAUCCACAAAAAGUUUUCACACACCUUGAUGUAGUGAUCUCAUUCUCAACAAACAAACAAAAAACUAUCCUAAGAAAAUAAUCCGUGUAGAAAAAGCUGUAUUUAUCAAAUGUAUGAAAGCAUGUUUAUUAAAGCUUGUUUACGAAAACAACAAAUAAAGAACUACAGUUAAGUAUUUACCAAAAUAGGAUGAUAAUAGGGUAAGGUCAAGUAAAAUAUGGCCCUUUCCUUAAUGAAAUAUUAUGAAAUUAUACAAAUGAUACUUUAGAAGACAGUGAUACUGUGCAAGGUCUAAAAUGCAAUUCAUAUAAUGUAGUUAAAUUUUAAUUUUAAAAAGACUGAAAUGACACAACUCAAAAAAGCUGAUGAGUUACUUUAAGAUGAUGAGAUUAUUGGAGUUUUUCCUCUAUUUUCUAAAUAGUUCAGUAUUAUAUUUAUAAUAAAUAAAAAUAAAUGUUAAACAUAUAACCAAUUAAUAUUCAUAAGAUAUAGAAAUAACUGAGGUGAAUUCACUAAUGAGGGAGCACUAGAAACACUUUGUGGAUUACCACAUUAGAGGAGUAUUACAAAAAUAUUUAAUCCGGUGGUGAUGUAUUUCCAUCAUUGCUAACAUAAAGCAGUGAAUCAACAAACAAACAUAAAUUAGUAAGUCACUAAGGUUAUGUUUUAUAAGUUUUGUCAUUGGUCAAAAAAGUAGAUGAUUUUGACAAAUCUAUUAGUUGUACUAAGAUUUUAGUACUAACUAUUAUUACCAUUAUUAAUUGUACUACUAUUCUUAUUACUGUUACUUAGAAAUAAUAGUAACAACUGAGCAAGCGUAGAGAUAGAUAAAUUUCAAUUUUGGAGAAAUAAUAUUAAUAACAGUUUAAAAUUAGCAGAAACAAUUAUACCAGAAUUUAUUCAGUGAGUAUAUUAUCUUUUCUUGUCAUAAUGAAGGUGUCUCUGGGUAUGUAUAUCUUUAGAAAUAUCUUGGAAGAAUUAGUUGUAUGUAAGGACUUUGAUAGAAUAAGGAAGGCUUCAAUGAAGUCUUCUAAGACAGCAAAUACAUUUUUAAGUCAUAAAUUUAACGUACAUUUACUCAAGUUCCAGUUCUGUGGCUUAUGAUCUGAGAAAUCUUGGAUAAGUCACUGAAUUCUGAGUGAGCCUCAUGUUCCUGCAAAACUGGAGAAUACCUUACUCUAUGUCACAGGGACUGGAGCAGAUAAUGACUAACUCCUGGUACAAAGUAGAUAUGUAAUAAAUAGUUAUUAACCUAUUUCUGGAAAAGACAGCAGAGCAUAUUGGGGAAGAGCACAAAUGCUAGAGCAGGACUACUUGGCUCUGAAAUCCAGCUCUAUCAUGUGUGAGCUACGUGACCUGAGGCAAGUGUCGAAUGUCAGUGUACCUCAGUUUCCUCAUCCAUAAAAUGGGCAUGAUAAUAAUAAUAAGAUCACUGGCCUGACAGAGUCAUUAAAGGGAAAUGAGUGAACACCUAUAAAGCACCGAUGGCAGUUUCUAGCACUAAGCAAGCACUCAGCAGGUGUUGAGUCUUUUAAAUAUAUCAAGAGAUGGGGUAAAGGGGACUAAUACUUAUUAAGUAUAUUACAUGUAAACUAUUGUCUUAAACCUGCUGUUUAUAUUAUUUCUUAUAAUCCUCACUAAUCCCAAGGGAUUAGGAUUCUUUAUUUUUCAGACCAAGAAACAGAUUCAGAGAACCAAAAUCUCUCCUGGACACUAAGGCACCUAUCCCAUUGCAAUUAUUUGAAUCCUUCUCUCUCCCCUCUUUUGCUGUUAGAUUGAUUUUCCUCCUAAAGAGUAGGUUCUCCUCCUAAAUUUAUUUUCUUUACUGGGUUUUCUCAGUCUGCUUCAUGAAAAGUACUAGAAUUAGUUGGGAAACGCUUUGGUCUCAUGCCCUUGGGUUUGCAAUGCCCACAUGCCUGAAAGCCCACAGAGAAGGCAUGGGAAGAAAGGAUAAUGUAUUUGUGACAAAUCAAAUCUAGUUUGAGCUCAUCCACCUGCUCAGUAUGCUUAUGAUGAAGAUAUAAGGCAAGCCAAACGGACAUAUCUCUCCUUCAGUAAAAGAUGUUUAAGAAACUAAACAGAAUAUGAACAUAGAUGUCCAAAUUGUGAUAUUUGCUCU
rnacentral:lncRNA from 1 species